rnacentral:lncRNA from 1 species
UAGUAAUUAGUAAAUGUCAAACGAAGUUAACGUGUCUCUCGAUAAAAUAUUAAUCAAAUUUUUAUAUACAGAAUUACAUUCAAUAAUUUUGUUUCUUUUAUCGAAUAAUGCAACGUGUUUUUUUUUCGACAGGAGUGCAUAGGGUGUGUUGCGAUUGGAAAAGAUAUUUCAAUUAAUUACAUUUUGUAUUCGUUGUAUUUGUGUUGUAGAGAUCGGCCUCAAUUUCCUUCUUUAUUUCUUUCUUCCGACACUAUGGUGAAUCAUUUUCUCAUGCAAAGUAUGUAAAUACAUACACAUGUAUAUAUAUAUAUAUAUGUAAAAUGCUUACGUAAACGUACAUGGUGGACUACUUGACAGACGAUUUUACGUAUUCCUAACCACACACUGCGGACAGGAUGAUACUUUUGCCGCGAUAAAAUGAAUGUCGUCAUUUGAUGGACCCACCGACCAACCUUUUUUCGUUUUAAAAUUCAUUCCACUUUUGUAUUUCCUAUUUUCCGA